GAUGCUGAAGGAUGGACAAUGAAGAACUGUGAAUAAGGAGAGGGCUAAGGGCCGUUGGGCAGAACCUGACUGUGAUCUGGAAUACUGGAUGUUAGCCCCAUCCAAAAGCUUUAAGGAUCCUGCUUUCCAGUGGCAGACACAUGCCCUUGUGUGAAUGGAUGAAGCCAUGAGCUUUAGUUGUUUCCCAACUUUUGUCACAAGCCCUGCUGUAGUGAAUGCCUUUGUCAUUAGUUUUCACUUGAUGGUGAGUACAUUUGCAGGAUUACAGAUGGAGUCGCUGAGUCACGCAUGUACAAGCACAUGUUGAGUGGUGCUGCUACUGCCAUGGGGCAUGGAGGUGGGCAGAGCCAAGUGGGCCACAUACAAGCCACACAGCCACCAAGCUCUGCCACACACCCCAGUGGGGGACACAAGAGCAGGUCCAGCAUGCCCUGAAGAGGUGAUAAGCGCUGCCCAUAUCCAAUACCACCUUAGAGGGCUGCGGAAGAAGGGAAGACACUCGGCAUCCAGAAAAGGUGGUGUUGAUUCUCACCAGGUUUACUCAUCAAGCUAAGAGGACCAGAAGGGGCCCCGAUUCCUAUUGACCUCUGGCUCAAGGAACAGGACACAGCUGAUGAGACAAGCUGUCCCAGCAGUCAGAGUCAGAAGAAGCUGCCUUUCCCUGUAGUUAAAAGAAGCACAGAGCAAAUGUGUGGCCCAGAUCAAGUGUGAUUCCUCAACCUGUGUCUCCUUCUCCCUGAGCUCUGGUUCAUCCCUCCCAAAUUAACCCCCUAACCAAGACUGUCUUCUGUGUCUCACAUUCCAUACAUACCUUGCCUGUGCCAAGCGACCCAGGAGAAGAGGCUGCUGUGGGUGAGAUUCCUCAGCCACUGGGGUAGUUGAGGCCUCCAACCAGGACCCAGCCUUCUGCUGCCUCAUGGGCCUGUGGGUGAGCUCCUCCCCAUGACUCAGGACUGGCUCCAUGCCCAUACUCACUACCGAGUGUAUGCUGCUGGUGCAGACCAAACUGACCAACACUGUGUCAGUUAGAGGGACCCUGUUCUGACACUGGGGGACUCAGGUCCCACGUGGAUAACCAGAUGCCUGGUCUGGGCCCCACUGCCCAGGGUUCUGUUUUCAUCCCGGGGCAUCCUGGAGGCUGCUUACACAGAACACAAUGACAGCUCUUGAACCUCACACAGAGGAAGCUGCAUGCCCCCCUUAAACUUCCUCCUACAGUACAUGAGUUUCUGCUGUACAUUCAAAGAGUGAGAGUCAUCAAAAUGAAUAAUCUUCUCUUUUCAAAAUUUGGAUACAAUCAUACAGAAUAUGUGCUCUGCCCAUGAUGAAAUCAAACUAGAAAUCAAUACCAAAACUCAACAGGAAAACCUAUAAACACUGAAAAUUAAACAACACACUUCUAAAUAAUCCAUGCAUUAAGGAGGAAAUCUCAAAGGAAAUUUUAGAAUACACAGAACUGAAUAAAAAUUGUCAUGGUUAAUUU